UCUGUCGAUGUAGUUCAGCCGUGAGAAAGACCUGAGUCAAAGAAUGGAGGUGAGGGAAAGGAGAUGAUAGACAUAUUUUAGGAGAGGACAGGACGAAAUUUUAGGCGCCAGAGGUGACAGCCUUGAGUGUGUGUUAAGACCGCAGGAAGAAAGAGACAGAGAAAGAAAAGCAGCAGGUCAAAGACCACCGCUCUAAAGUCCAGAGGGGGAUCUUCUUACAUCACUGAGGGCUGAGUAAAGGAGCCCACCACGCAUGGUUACUUCCAGCAAACACAGCCGCGGAGGAGCCCCUCGAUCAAACAGAGCCGUUCAAAGGCCUGAAUGCUCACACACGCACGCACACACACACACACACACACACACACACACACACAGAGCGAAGUAAGUGCAGCUUGUCUCUUGAUUCUCUUGUUUCAGGGAGGUCAACUGUGUGACAGUCGGAGGUGACACCUUUCCAGCGGGAGACUUCUCAUCGGGUCAUAACAAAUUACACAGCUCCCAUUUCACCUGUCUCUCACCACCAUCAUCAUUUCAAGGUAUUGUCAAAGUGGCUUAACAUGCACAAGACGUCCAUGGAGACCUCUGCUGCGCUGCGAUGGCUCCCCGGUGUGCUGGCAGAAGGUACUGGGCGC